rnacentral:sRNA from 1 species
UCAUCUACUUCUGGCGUGCAGACUGCACGUG